rnacentral:lncRNA from 1 species
CUUUUAGAAAACAAAGCUUGCAACAAAUCUGAAAUUGUCUUUUAAGGUGAGAACUUCUGGCAUUCCCUAUCAGGGCAGAUUGCAGCAUUUAGGAGGUAAGGCGAAGUGUUGCUGACAAGUCAUCUGGACAACCUGCGUAAUGUAACAGACUUAAAAAUGCAUGGUAAGGAAGAUCCUUUCCCUUUAUGUUGAAUAGCUUAUUGUGAGAUUCUUGUGUCUUGGUCUCCAGCAGAGUGGUUGUUCCUUCUGUGUCUCUAUGUACCUUAGGGGUAGGACUUGCUUUUUUCCUGCCCAUCCUUACCUACACCUCACUCUUCCCUCCAGCAGGCACACAACAGGAGGCUCUGUUGUUCAGGCCUAACUAGAUUGCUGAUGCUUCUGUUCCUCAGGAUUCUCCUUGGAUCAGAUGAGAGAAAGAAAAUGAGAAGAUGUGUGUGCUGAGGGUGAUGAUAAGAUUGAAAUGAACACCUGCUCACAGUUCUACUUAGUUCAGCUACUUCGUUAAGGGUCUUUGCUAUACCUGCUGCACCAUUCCCUUUUGUUCUACAGUCAUGUAUGCAACAUUACCCUUCUUCAGCCAGUCCAUAGGGCACAGUCUUUAGGAAAUGGGCGCUGUUUAUCUGGCAGAUGCAGACAACCAGCUGAAGCUUUUGUGUGCCUGAUAGGUACACCAAGGAUUAUCUGUUGUGUUUGUCCUUCUCUUGAUUGUUGUCCUGGUUUCAGCGGUGUGUUAAAAGCACACUGAUGUUUUGGUUGUUGCUCCCACACUUGGGGCUGGCACUGGGUGCUUUUCCUUUUCUGUUGUAAUAAAUACUUUUUUUUUUUCCUCA